rnacentral:misc_RNA from 1 species
GUUUCCAUUGAUUAAGGCUCAAAGUUCUGCAAGCCAAGCAAGUAGCUGUAAAAAAAGUGGAAGCUGAUUGCAGCACAGGCACAGCACACCCAAUCACUGAGGUGCCUUGUUUAUUGUGCCUGCUCUUCCUUGAAUUCAUCUGCAAGUCUUAGGAUAAGCUUUUCAUUGGUUUGUUUUUAUUUUAUUUAUAUUUUGCACAUAACUUCAUCACCAUGUCAUGCCAUUAGCACCUCAACCUUUCAUACGAGAUCAAAUACAAGACAAAGAAACUCAGACUCUUCAUUUAUUUACUUAUUGUAUAAAUGGGUUAUACGGUUAUGCUAUUUCAUUUUUCUGAAAUUUUAUAAAAAUAUUUAUUAUGUCUUUCGUAUUCACUCCACAAAAACUUAAAAUAUAAUUACAAAAAUAAAAAUAUUAUUAAUCCUAAGUAUGGACUAAAACUUAUCCUGCUAUAUCAUGAUUGGAAUUUGGAGCUAAUGAAGAAAAUUUUGCCAACGAUUUCCUAAAUUUUAUGAUUGAGAUUUCUUGCAUUUCCU